CGGCAACAGCUCAAAUUUGAAAUCUGGCCUCCUCUGGUGGUCCGAGUUGUAAUUUGCAGAGGGUGCUUUGGUGUUGUCAGUGGCCUAAGUUCCUUGGAACAGGACAUCACAGAGGGUGAGAAUCCCGUCUAUGGUCGCCAGCCUUCACCGUGUAAAGCCCCUUCGAC
rnacentral:rRNA from 1 species